AGCAGUGGGGAAUUUUCCGCAAUGGGCGAAAGCCUGACGGAGCAACGCCGCGUGAGGGAUGAAGGCCUCUGGGCUGUAAACCUCUUUUAUCAAGGAAGAAGAUCUGACGGUACUUGAUGAAUAAGCCACGGCUAAUUCCGUGCCAGCAGCCGCGGUAAUACGGGAGUGGCAAGCGUUAUCCGGAAUUAUUGGGCGUAAAGCGUCCGCAGGCGGCCCUUCAAGUCUGCUGUUAAAAAGUGGAGCUUAACUCCAUCAUGGCAGUGGAAACUGAGGGGCUUGAGUGUGGUAGGGGCAGAGGGAAUUCCCGGUGUAGCGGUGAAAUGCGUAGAUAUCGGGAAGAACACCAGUGGCGAAGGCGCUCUGCUGGGCCAUCACUGACGCUCAUGGACGAAAGCCAGGGGAGCGAAAGGGAUUAGAUACCCCUGUAGUCCUGGCCGUAAACGAUGAACACUAGGUGUCGGGGGAAUCGACCCCCUCGGUGUCGUAGCCAACGCGUUAAGUGUUCCGCCUGGGGAGUACGCACGCAAGUGUGAAACUCAAAGGAAUUGACGGGGGCCCGCACAAGCGGUGGAGUAUGUGGUUUAAUUCGAUGCAACGCGAAGAACCUUACCAGGGUUUGACAUCCUGCGAAUCUCUUGGAAACGAGAGAGUGCCUUCGGGAGCGCAGUGACAGGUGGUGCAUGGCUGUCGUCAGCUCGUGUCGUGAGAUGUUGGGUUAAGUCCCGCAACGAGCGCAACCCACGUCUUUAGUUGCCAGCAUUUAGUUGGGCACUCUAGAGAGACCGCCGGUGAUAAACCGGAGGAAGGUGUGGAUGACGUCAAGUCAUCAUGCCCCUUACAUCCUGGGCUACACACGUACUACAAUGCUACGGACAAAGGGCAGCAAGUUCGCGAGGACAAGCAAAUCCCAUAAACCGUGGCUCAGUUCAGAUCGUAGGCUGCAACUCGCCUACGUGAAGGAGGAAUCGCUAGUAAUCGCAGGUCAGCAUACUGCGGUGAAUACGUUCCCGGGCCUUGUACACACCGCCCGUCACACCAUGGAAGUUGGCCACGCCCGAAGCCGUUACUCCAACCCUUGUGGAGGAGGACGUCGAAGGUGGGGCUGAUGACUGGGGUGAAGUCGUAACAAGGUAUCCGUACCGGAAGGUGCGGAUGGAUCACCUCCUAA
rnacentral:rRNA from 1 species